rnacentral:rRNA from 1 species
CCUACGGGUGACAGCAGUGAGGAAUAUUGGUCAAUGGACGCAAGUCUGAACCAGCCAUGCCGCGUGCAGGAUGACGGCUCUAUGCAUUGUAAACUUCUUUUGUACGAGGGUAAACUCAGAUACGCGUAUCUGUCUGAAAGUAUCUGACGAAAAAGGAUCGGCUAACUCCGUGCCCGCAGCCGCGGUAAUACGGAGGAUUCAAGCGUUAUCCGGAUUUAUUGGGUUUAAAGGGUGCGUAGGCGGGCCUUUAAGUUAGGGGUGAAAUCCCGAGGCUCAACUUCGGCAUUGCCGCUGAUACUGUCUGGCUAGAGAGGAGGUGAGGUAGGCGGAAUGUAUGGUGUAGCGGUGAAAUGCUUAGAGAUCGCACAGAACACCGAUUGCGAAGGCAGCAUACC